rnacentral:sRNA from 1 species
CAGUUUGUCUUUUCCAACAAC